AUGGUCCCCCUUCGGGUGGGGAUUAGUGGCGAACGGGUGAGUAACACGUGGGCAAUCUGCCCUGCACUCUGGGACAAGCCCUGGAAACGGGGUCUAAUACCGGAUACUGACCUGCCGAGGCAUCUUGGCGGGUCGAAAGCUCCGGCGGUGCAGGAUGAGCCCGCGGCCUAUCAGCUUGUUGGUGAGGUAAUGGCUCACCAAGGCGACGACGGGUAGCCGGCCUGAGAGGGCGACCGGCCACACUGGGACUGAGACACGGCCCAGACUCCUACGGGAGGCAGCAGUGGGGAAUAUUGCACAAUGGGCGCAAGCCUGAUGCAGCGACGCCGCGUGAGGGAUGACGGCCUUCGGGUUGUAAACCUCUUUCAGCAGGGAAGAAGCGAAAGUGACGGUACCUGCAGAAGAAGCGCCGGCUAACUACGUGCCAGCAGCCGCGGUAAUACGUAGGGCGCAAGCGUUGUCCGGAAUUAUUGGGCGUAAAGAGCUCGUAGGCGGCUUGUCACGUCGGUUGUGAAAGCCCGGGGCUUAACCCCGGGUCUGCAGUCGAUAC
rnacentral:rRNA from 1 species